rnacentral:rRNA from 1 species
UACAGAGGUGCCGAGCGUUAGGCGGAAUCACUGGGCUUAAAGCGUGUGUAGGCGGAUGCCUAAGUACCUUGUGAAAUCCCACGGCUUAACCGUGGAACUGCUUGGUAUACUGGGUGUCUUGAGCCACUUAGGGGCGACCGGAACAAACGGUGGAGCGGUGAAAUGCGUAGAUAUCGUUUGGAACGCCAAUGGUGAAAACAGGUCGCUGGGAGUGUGCUGACGCUGAGACACGAAAGCCAGGGGAGCGAACGGG